CAAAUUUCUAACUCUGACUGUACUCUUUUUUUCUUCUCUUCUUACUCCAUUUCUCAUUUUUCCCUUGUCUUACAUAACCUUCUUUCUCUCCCCCAUCAGGAAGAAGAGGAGUUUACAUUGGCUGUGUCCUCACCGCCUGCCUCUCCUCUAUCCACUCCUCAAAUGUCAGGGCAGUUCACAAACGCAGACACACUUCCUGCCCAGCACUGUUUACAAGAGGCCAUUGCUAGGAAGGAUGAGUCAGAGGAAUGGGAGAAUCUUACCACAUCCAAGUGGCUGUCUGCCUGCAAGAACUGGAAGAAUUAAGGAAAUAGGAAGACUGUGRGAGUUUUGGGGACAGAUAUGAAGAUGAAGCUGAGGAAAACUCCAACAGGAGGAGAUCUCAAAACCGAACCACACAGGAAGAAAUGGAAUAAGAAUGAAAACAAGGAAAACUGAACAAUUGAUCUUCUGGGGCU